rnacentral:lncRNA from 10 species
AUGGAGAAAUUGAGCAUGGAACACUAAGAAAUUUGCCCAAGCUUACCAGCUGCCAUGUCAUGAGCACACUCAAGCAGCCCUCUGGAGAGGCUCAUCUGGAGAAGAACUGGAGCUUCUCACUGUCAUCCAGCACCAGCCAUAAGAGUAAGCCAACUUAGACCCGGAUCCUCCAGCCCCAGCCAGGCUUUCUGGAUGUUUCAGCCAACAUCUUGACUUUACCCUCCUGAGACUUUCAUGAGAGGCAGAAAUAUCCACUGAAGCUGCUCCCGAAUUUGUGGCUCACAGAUACUGAGCUCAGAUACUGUGUGAGAUAAUAAAUGUUUAUUGUU